rnacentral:misc_RNA from 1 species
UGGCUCUCGCAUCGAUGAAGAACGCAGCGAAAUGCGAUAAGUAAUGUGAAUUGCAGAAUUCAGUGAAUCAUCGAAUCUUUGAACGCAAAUUGCGCUCUUUGGUAUUCCGAAGAGCAUGCCUGUUUGAGUGUCAUUAAAGUCUUCACCCACCCGGUUUUCUUGCCGGAUGGUGUGGUUUGGAUGCUGCCAUUCGUGGCUCGUCUUAAAUGCAUUAGUGGAUCAGCGUGAUAAGUCGUCGCUUAAGGCCCACUUUAAAUCUCUAAUACUUUGACCUCAAAUCAGGUAGGACUACCCGCUGA